ACGGGAGGCAGCAGUGGGGAAUCUUCCGCAAUGGACGAAAGUCUGACGGAGCGACGCCGCGUGGAUGAUGAAGGCCGGAAGGUUGUAAAAUCCUUUUAUGACUGAGGAAUAAGCAGGGUGAGAGAAACGCCCUGUGGUGACUGUAGGUCAUGAAUAAGCAACGGCUAAUUACGUGCCAGCAGCCGCGGUAACACGUAAGUUGCGAGCGUUGUUCGGAAUUAUUGGGCGUAAAGGGCAUGUAGGCGGUUUUGCAAGCUUGGUGUGAAAUCCCGGAGCUUAACUCCGGAAUUGCGUUGAGAACUGCAUAACUAGAGUCACUGAGGGGCAAUCAGAAUUCCUGGUGUAGGGGUGAAAUCUGUAGAUAUCAGGAAGAAUACCAAUGGCGAAGGCAGGUUACCAGCAGAUGACUGACGCUGAGGUGCGAAGGUGCGGGGAGCAAACAGGAUUAGAUACCCUGGUA
rnacentral:rRNA from 1 species